rnacentral:lncRNA from 1 species
CGUUCCCAAGUAGUCGUAAUGCCGCGUGGUGUCUGGGCCUCACGAUCGGCUGUCAGAGACCGGGUUCCGGUUGUAUCUUUCGCGCGAAAGAAUGAUUGAUAUCCUGUCGCGGCAUCAACCAUUGGAUUGCGCCUCGCACGACUCUCAAAGCACCCCUAGUCUCUCCUUCCACUGUUGCACGCCCGGCAAAGCAGCUAAUUGCACCGUCCGGCGGUUGAUAUUGCAAAAAAAAACUAAUCAUUCUUUUGUCCGAAAGAUACAAUUUGAACAUGUUAGGGCCAGAACUUGUCUUCAUUUUGGAUAAGAGUGGA